rnacentral:rRNA from 1 species
UAUCACUAAGCGGAGGAAAAGAAACUAACCAGGAUUCCCCUAGUAACGGCGAGUGAACGGGGAUUAGCCCAGCACCGAAGCCUGUGUCCAUUUGGAUGCUAGGCACUGUGGUGUUUAGGUGGUAACGUGUCGGUUCAUCUGCUGCCCCAAGUCCAGUAAUGAAUAUGGCUCUUAUGUUGGCCCAGAGAGGGUGAAAGGCCCGUGGGGGUGGUUAGGUGAGUUGACCGGUUCCACCUUGGAGUCGGGUUGUUUGUGAAUGCAGCCCAAAGUGGGUGGUAGACUCCAUCUAAGGCUAAAUACUGACACGAGUCCGAUAGCGAACAAGUACCGUGAGGGAAAGUUGAAAAGUACUCUGAAGAGAGAGUAAACAGUGCGUGAAACCGCUGAGAGGUAAACGGGUGUAGUCAAGCUGCAAGCCUUGGGGAUUCAGCUGAUCAGUGUGAUGUGUGUGUACGAGCAUACUUUUGGUCUGUAUCGGUCCACCUAAACUGGUGGGCUUGACUCCACGUGGGUCAAGUGCUUGGGUGUCAAGUGGAUACUGAGCGCCGUGCAGGAUCCAAUUGCUGGUCAGUGCACUUCCUCAGGGUGUAAGCCACGACCGCCUUUGCUGCCGGUCUGCCGGGAUCAACCGUCUUGGUCGGGCUGAACAGCCCGUCCAGGUCGGGAUGGCAGGUAGCCUGGUGUGCACGUUCACGUGUGUGCUGGGUGUUAUAGCCGAUCCUUGUGCGGUCCAUAAACUGUGCAGUAUGGCGGAGAUGUCGGCGUGUUGGUAACAGCUCUCGUGCUAAAGUCUGCCGGCAUGAUCAAUGUCUGGCUGCCUGUAGUCGAUGUAAAAUUCGGCCUGGCUGCGGCUUGUUCAUGGUGUAGCGGGCGGCGGCGUGGGCUAGCCAUCGGUCUUUGGCCGGUUCGUCGUCUAUAGUCUGUGGCGUAGUGGUAGACGAUCCA